rnacentral:rRNA from 1 species
GAGGACCGAGAUGGCUGGACCGCUGGUGAGCCAGUUGGCCUGCCCAGGCCACCGCUGGAUAGCUACGUCCAGAAAGGAGAAGCGCUGACAGCAUCUAAGCGCGAAGCCGCCCCCAAGAUGAGUGUUCCCAUCUCUUUUCAAGAGAGAUGAAGAUCCCAGGGAGACCACCUGGUAGCUAGACCGCGGGUGCACGCCUGGUAACAGGUGCAGCCAAGCGGCCCUAAUGAUCUAACGGCUUG